CCUACGGGGUGCUGCAGUGGGGAAUAUUGGACAAUGGGCGAAAGCCUGAUCCAGCCAUGCCGCGUGUGUGAAGAAGGCCUUCGGGUUGUAAAGCACUUUCAGUGGGGAAGAAAGCCUUGGGGCUAAUACCCUCGAGGAAGGACAUCACCCACAGAAGAAGCACCGGCUAACUCCGUGCCAGCAGCCGCGGUAAUACGGAGGGUGCGAGCGUUAAUCGGAAUUACUGGGCGUAAAGCGCGCGUAGGCGGUCUGAUAAGCCGGUUGUGAAAGCCCCGGGCUCAACCUGGGAACGGCAUCCGGAACUGUCAGGCUAGAGUGCAGGAGAGGAAGGGAGAAUUCCCGGUGUAGCGGUGAAAUGCGUAGAGAUCGGGAGGAAUACCAGUGGCGAAGGCGGCCUUCUGGACUGACACUGACGCUGAGGUGCGAAAGCGUGGGUAGCAAACAGGAUUAGAUACCCCAGUAGUC
rnacentral:rRNA from 1 species